UCCACCGCAGGCUGGUCGGUCUUGCUCCCAGGCCAAAUGACACCGCGGCCGCUGGGCCCUUUGGUGCUGGCUCUGGGUGGCACCGCAGCCGUGCUGGGCUCGGUGCUCUUUAUCCUCUGGAAAUCUUACUUCGGCCGCGGCCGGCGGCGCUGGGACCGGGGCGAGGCCUGGUGGGGCACAGACACUGCCCGCCUCCCUCAGUGGGACAAGUGGGAGCCCGAGGACGAGGAAGAUGAGCCGGCCUUGGAGAAGCUGGAGCAGCUGGAAGUGUUGGUGCUGGGCUUGGAUGGCUCAGGGAAAAGCACGUUCCUGCACAUGCUGGCCGGGAAGCCACCGGUGGAAGGCCACGUCCCUACCUGGGGCUUCAACUCUGUUCGGCUGCCUACCAAGAAUUUCGAGGUGGACCUGUUAGAGAUUGGUGGCAGCCAGAACCUGCGCUUCUACUGGAAGGAGUUUGUCAAUGAGGUGGACGUGCUGGUGUUCAUGGUGGACUCGACUGACGAGCUAAGGCUGCCCUGGGCUUGGCAGGAGCUGCAGAAACUGCUGGACAAGGAUCCUGAUCUGCCUGUUGUUAUAGUGGCCAACAAGCAGGACCUGAGCGGGGCCAUGAGUAUGGUGGAGCUGCAGCAGGAGCUGGGCCUUCUUGCUAGUAAAAACCAGAGGGAGGUUUUCCUCUUGGCAGCCAGCAUUGCCCCUGCAGGAUCUGGCUUCGAGGAACCUGGUUCCCUGCAUCUCUGGAAAUACUGGCUGAACCUUCCGAAAGCCUACAGUUGUCUGUGGGGAAGCUUUCUUGGCAGAAUAGUGGAAUGA